GCCGCGUUGGCGUAGUGGUAGCGCGUCUCACUUGUAUAUAGCCGUCUAUACAGUUCUGUGAUGGACAUGAGAAGGUCACUCGUUCAAUCCGGGUACGUGGCA